rnacentral:rRNA from 1 species
UACGUAGGGUGCGAGCGUUGUCCGGAAUUAUUGGGCGUAAAGAGCUCGUAGGCGGUGUGUCACGUCGGCCGUGAAAACCUGCAGCUUAACUGUGGGCGUGCGGUCGAUACGGGCAUCACUGGAGUUCGGCAGGGGAGACUGGAAUUCCGGGUGUAGUGGUGAAAUGCGUAGAGAUCCGGAGGAACACCAGUGGCGAAGGCGACACGCUGGGCCGUACCUGACACUGAUGCGCGACAGCAUGGGGAGCAAACAGG